rnacentral:misc_RNA from 1 species
GAAAUGCGAUACGUAGUGUGAAUUGUAGAAUUCAGUGAAUCAUCGAAUCUUUGAACGCACAUUGCGCCCUUUGGUAUUCCAAAGGGCAUGCCUGUUCGAGCGUCAUUUGUACCCUCAAGCUUUGCUUGGUGUUGGGCGUUUUUUGUCUUUGGCUCGCCCAAAGACUCGCCUUAAAACGAUUGGCAGCCGGCCUACUGGUUUCGCAGCGCAGCACAUUUUUGCGCUUGCAAUCAGCAAAAGAGGACGGCAAUCCAUCAAGACUCCUUCUCACGUUUGACCUCGGAUCAGGUAGGGAUACCCGCUGAACUUAAGC